GCUGCGGGGGGUGGGGGGGGUUCCUCGCGGACCCGAGGUCCCUCGUGUUCGUCCCUCCCGGUGGCGCUAGGGGACAAGACCUCGAGUAAUGAGGGAGGGGUACGAGCUGGAGGGUCGUACCCCAAAAAGAGUAAUGGCGGAGCGCGGCCCCAGGGCCUCGGGGCCCCUGUGAAGAGGCGGCUGCUUGGAAGCGGAAGGCUGGGUGCUGAGAGGGCGCCGGCCCCGGAGGACCCCCCAGGACAGCACCAUGCACCAAGGAAAGACCCUGGGAGCACACAGCAAGAAGGCAGCUACCUGUAAACCAAGAAGUGGGCCCUCCCCAGACGCCAACUGACCUUGCAGUUCCAGCCUCCACAACCGUGAGAAAUUUCUGCUGUCUAAGCCUCCCAGCCUGUGGUGCUGUCAUAGCCACCCAAGCAGCCCGAGGCAGACCCGUCACAUCAAUAAGAAACACAGCCCUGAGAUUUGGGUGGUGUUUGUUACUGCCCAUAACCUACAGCAUCCUGCCUGGUGCAGAUGCCAAAGCUGCUGCCUGAACCAGGAGGCAGCACUGCGUCUUCCACUAAAUACAAAGCAGGCCCUUUCCAGUACACUGUGGUUGAAAUGAAAGAAACCGAAACACGCAAAAGUAAGAAGAACACGAAGGAACAGCAAACACCACACCACACACAUGGGCCCUCCUGCGUCUCCACAAGCAGACGUGGACCUGGGAGACAGCAGAGGUGGCUCCUCUUUUGAGUUCCUGCCAUCCCGGGCCACAGCAGAGAGCUGGACUGGAAGAGGAGCAACCAGGACAGAAUCCGGCGCCCCAACCGGGACUAGAACCCGGAGUACCGGCACCGCAGGCGGAGGAUUAGCCUAGUGAGCCGCAGCGCCAGUCCAAGCAGCGUCUUAACUGCUGUGUCAAACCCUGGUCCCGUGAUUGUGUAUAUCUUAAAACAAAACCUAAGUUACACUAGAAAUCGAACAUUAAUACUGUGCAUUUCUGAACAUUAACACUAUGCAAAUUGUGUUUGCAAAUCAUGGAAAAUAUCUUGGGGGAGACACAUGGAAGCAAUAACACUGAUGCCUGACCCUGGAACAAGGAGAACUGGGGUUCUAGGAAGAGCCAGGGUCGGGGGAGGGUAGAGCACCAGGAACACAGCUGUUCCCCUGCAUCAUGGUGACUGUAUAGAGUGAGACUGUGCUUGUGUACCUAAGAGACACUCCAGAAGAU